rnacentral:rRNA from 1 species
UACGUAGGUGGCAAGCGUUAUCCGGAUUUAUUGGGUGUAAAGGGCGUGUAGGCGGGAAAGCAAGUCAGAUGUGAAAUCCACGGGCUCAACCCGUGAACUGCAUUUGAAACUGUUUCCCUUGAGUGUCGGAGAGGUAAUCGGAAUUCCUAGUGUAGCGGUGAAAUGCGUAGAUAUUAGGAAGAACACCAGUGGCGAAGGCGGAUUACUGGACGAUAACUGACGGUGAGGCGCGAAAGCGUGGGGAGCAAACAGG